rnacentral:lncRNA from 1 species
UUGACUCAGCCUCUCCACUUUUUUGAACGGCAAAUUAGGGUUUUAAUUGAAAAUUUAAAACAAGAAACAUAAAACUAUUCACCCUUAUACAUCAUUCCAUCAGAGUCAAAGAACUGAACUUCUGCAGAAGUUGCUGGUGCGGGAUUGACGUUCUGUUUGUGCUUCUGCUUGAAAGAUGAUGAUAGGGUUUGUGGCUAAUUGGUAUCAAAAUGUGCAAAAACCGAUGGCUAAAUGGUGGCUAAAUGGUGGCAAUAUCGGUGGCUAAAUG